UAGAGUUUUCAAAACUCCCAAACCCAUGUUAACUUACCUAUGUUGCCUCGGCGGGAGCCUACCCUGUACCUACCCUGUAACGGGUUACCCGGGAGCGGCCCCGCCGGUGGACCUUUUAACUCUUGUUAUUUUAUGUAAUCUGAGAGUCUUAUUUUAAAUAAGUCA
rnacentral:misc_RNA from 1 species